rnacentral:rRNA from 1 species
CACGUAGGGCGCGAGCGUUGUCCGGAAUUAUUGGGCGUAAAGCGCUCGUAGGCGGCCUGUUGCGUCCGCUGUGAAAGCCCGGGGCUUAACCCCGGGUCGGCAGUGGAUACGGGCAGGCUAGAGGUAGGUAGGGGAGAAUGGAAUUCCCGGUGUAGCGGUGAAAUGCGCAGAUAUCGGGAGGAACACCGGUGGCGAAGGCGGUUCUCUGGGCCUUACCUGACGCUGAGGAGCGAAAGCGUGGGGAGCAAACAGG